AGUUGGUUAUCUUCCUAACUCCGUAGACUUGCACUCUGGGCACUUCACAUGUACAGUGUGUGCUAGUGAUCUUUCUGUCUUGGGAUAACUGACCAAGGAAAGUUUUAUUUUGGGUCACAGCUUUAGAUGUUCCAGCCCAUGAUCAGUGGAGUGGGCUCCAUUGCCUUGGCUGAGGUAGCACAUUAUGGUAGAAAUGAUUUUGCUCAUCACAUCAUGGAUGGGAAGAGGAAGUCCAUAGUGUCAUUUCCACAGUGACUGAAGACCUUCCAGUAGGUCCAACCUCAUAAAUGCAUCACCACCUCCCAGAAGAACUAUUGUUAAUGUUAUCUGGAUCUUACGAUGGAACUCCUGUUGUGGGCCAGGCUGGCUUCAAACUCACAGAAAUCUGCCUGCUGAAUGCUCAGAUUAAAGGUGUGUGUCAUGACAUACAGCCCUACUGGGAACCUUUGAAAGGAGAGAACUGUUGCCUCAGACCCGACUGAAAUGCAGAUGAAAUCCCCCUGGGCCUGAGAAGAGGAAGGGAAGCACACAGAGGAGGCACUGCAAACCCAUGGAGCAGGAAGCAUCUGAAGAGGAAAACCCUCUGAAGCACAGCUUUACCCAAAGAAGUGUUAAUAAUCGGAAAGAUAGAACCUAGCAAGUGGAGCUUUCAGAUAAUUGGCAGUUACAUUUGUCCCCCAGGUGUUAUCUCGGAUCCACGAAUAGAAAACACACACACACCAAUUAUUCUUAAAACAUCUUUGCUAACUCAAUGGCUGGCCACUCUUAAUUCUUCCCCUGCUAUCCCAGGCCCCGUUGGGGAUGUGGCCAGAGGCAGGCCCAUCUAGAUGCCUUACUGGUGUGGAGAACUCUGUGCUACCUGAGUUGUGAUCACUACCCUCACGUGGGGUUUGUGGUCACAUAUACCGGGACAGGAAUCGGGUCGGGAGUAAAUGAAACUCCUACCGUUCUCAAAUUCUCAGAUUGGGUUUCUGAAUCCGCUCAACCUCAGUUUUUGUCUGGUGACACACAGUACCAAUUGCUGGAAGUGUGUAGUCCCAAACAGGGUAACAUUGAUAACAUCCAAGUGAUGGUAGAAGGGCAGCUCUUUUCUCAAAGACAACAUCAGGUAGUUUAUCAUGAACCAGCAUAAGUAAACAGGGCCUGGAAUGCCCACAAUAAGAAAAAUGUUUGCCUAACUAAUGAAGUUAGUGCCUACUUGUAUACAUGUGCAUGUAUUAUGAAAUUUCCAAUAACUAGCUUCUUCCGGAAAAUUGUAGAGCAUUGUGAAGUAAAUGCCUUUUAGCAGAUAAAUUGUGAUCCAUCCACACUGUGGAGUUUUACACA
rnacentral:lncRNA from 1 species